AAUAAAGCAACAGAGAAGAUGGCCCCAGUCACAUACAGAGCCAGCCAGAACAGUGGCAGAGUGCCCUUUUCUAUUGAGAGACCAUCACAGAACUGCUUGCUCCCUUGUGGAAGAGAGUAAUGGUCCAGGUUGAUUGAUCCACAGUUAAAUCUUACCAGUCUAUAGAUCACCCUGAGCUCUGCCAUAAACCCUGGCUGGCACAUGAAGAUGCAGAAAAUGGUCCAAGCCAUUCAAGAAUGACUGACUGUUUUCAGCCUGAGGACCAACCUUUCCUGCACUUCAACUCAACACUCUUCACUGUUAGAUGGGAUGGAUUUUGCUGUGGAGCAUCUGGACCAAGCCCAAGCUGGCUCUGGAUCUCCUACUCUUAAAAGAGGUAUAGAAGUUGAUUCUGGAAGUACCUGGGACAACAUUCCAAAUAGCCUUCGUGGACCAGUUUAAAUUUGUAGAGAUGCCAGAAUCAUCCUACUGAUUUUUCUUCUUUCCUAUUCCAAUUCCACCUCAUGCCCAGGUUUCU